GACGAACGCUGGCGGCGUGCCUAAUACAUGUAAGUAGAACGCUGAAGGAGGAGCUUGCUUCUCCGGAUGAGUUGCGAACGGGUGAGUAACGCGUAGGUAACCUGCCUGGUAGCGGGGGAUAACUAUUGGAAACGAUAGCUAAUACCGCAUAACAGUAGAUAUUGCAUGAUAUCUGCUUGAAAGGUGCAAUUGCAUCACUACCAGAUGGACCUGCGUUGUAUUAGCUAGUUGGUGGGGUAACGGCUCACCAAGGCGACGAUACAUAGCCGACCUGAGAGGGUGAUCGGCCACACUGGGACUGAGACACGGCCCAGACUCCUACGGGAGGCAGCAGUAGGGAAUCUUCGGCAAUGGACGGAAGUCUGACCGAGCAACGCCGCGUGAGUGAAGAAGGUUUUCGGAUCGUAAAGCUCUGUUGUAAGAGAAGAACGAGUGUGAGAGUGGAAAGUUCACACUGUGACGGUAUCUUACCAGAAAGGGACGGCUAACUACGUG
rnacentral:rRNA from 1 species